CCUACGGGGGGCAGCAGUGGGGAAUAUUGGGCAAUGGGCGCAAGCCUGACCCAGCAACGCCGCGUGAAGGAAGAAGGCUUUCGGGUUGUAAACUUCUUUUCUGAGGGACGAAGAAAGUGACGGUACCUCAGGAAUAAGCCACGGGCAAAUACGGGCCAGCAGCCGCGGUCAUACGGAGGGGGCAAGCGUUAUCCGGAUUUAUUGGGUGUAAAGGGCGGGUAGGCGGGAAAGAAAGUCAGAUGUGAAAACUCAGGGGUCAACCCUGAGCCUGCAUUUGAAACUGUUUUCCUUGAGUGCUGGAAAGGCAAUCGGAAUGCCGGGUGUAGCGGUGAAAUGCGUAGAUAUACGGAGGAACACCAGUGGCGAAGGCGGACUGCUGGAGAGUAACUGACGCUGAGGCACGAAAGCGUGGGGAGCGAACAGGAUUAGAUACCCGUGUAGUC
rnacentral:rRNA from 1 species